rnacentral:rRNA from 1 species
GACGAACGCUGGCGGCGUGCUUAACACAUGCAAGUCGAACGGAAAGGCCCUGCUUUUGUGGGGUGCUCGAGUGGCGAACGGGUGAGUAACACGUGAGUAACCUGCCCUUGACUUUGGGAUAACUUCAGGAAACUGGGGCUAAUACCGGAUAGGAGCUCCUGCUGCAUGGUGGGGGUUGGAAAGUUUCGGCGGUUGGGGAUGGACUCGCGGCUUAUCAGCUUGUUGGUGGGGUAGUGGCUUACCAAGGCUUUGACGGGUAGCCGGCCUGAGAGGGUGACCGGCCACAUUGGGGCUGAGAUACGGCCCAGACUCCUACGGGAGGCAGCAGUGGGGAAUAUUGCACAAUGGGCGGAAGCCUGAUGCAGCAACGCCGCGUGCGGGAUGACGGCCUUCGGGUUGUAACCGCUUUCGCCUGUGACGAAGCGUGAGUGACGGUAAUGGGUAAAGAAGCACCGGCUAACUACGUG